rnacentral:rRNA from 1 species
AGAGGUAUCGUAAUUGAAGAGGUUUGGAAAGACCCACCACAGAAGGUAAUAGUCCUGUAUGUUAAACGAGAAGACUUCAGAUAUGAUCCAGAGUACCACGGGACACGUGAAACCCUGUGGGAAGCAGGAGGGACCACCCUCCAAGGCUAAAUACUACCUAGUGACCGAUAGCGUAUAGUACCGUGAGGGAAAGGUGAAAAGAACCCCGGGAGGGGAGUGAAAUAGAACCUGAAACCCUGCACUUACAAGCUGUGGAAGCACAUUUCUUGUGUGACCGCGUACUUUUUGUAGAACGGGCCAACGAGUUACGUUAAGUAGCAAGGUUAAGCACUUAAGGUGUGGAGCCGUAGCGAAAGCGAGUUUUAACUGAGCGUUCAGUUACUUGACGUAGACCCGAAACCGGGCGACCUACCCAUGAGCAGGAUGAAGCGAAAGUAAAAUUUCGUGGAGGUCCGAACCCACGAGCGUUGAAAAGCUCGGGGAUGACUUGUGGGUAGCGGUGAAAUUCCAAUCGAGCCCGGAGAUAGCUGGUUCUCCCCGAAAUAGCUUUAGGGCUAGCCUCAAGGUGAGAGAUACGGAGGUAGAGCACUGAAUGUCCUAGGGGGUAUUGCACCUACCGAAGACUAUCAAACUCCGAAUGCCGUCAUCUUAUACUUGGGAGUCAGACUGUGGGUGAUAAGAUUCAUAGUCGAAAGGGCAACAGCCCAGAUCGUCAGCUAAGGUCCCUAAAUGUAAGUUAAGUGGUAAAGGAUGUGGGAUUGCACAGACAACCAGGAUGUUGGCUUAGAAGCAGCCACUCAUUCAAAGAGUGCGUAAUAGCUCACUGGUCGAGUGAUCCUGCGCCGAAGAUUUCCGGGGCUAAAACUUACUACCGAAGCUACGGCAUCAGUAAUGAUGGGUAGGGGAGCUUCCCAUACGGGUUGAAGCAUGACCGUAAGGACAUGUGGACAGUAUGGGAGUGAGAAUGUUGGCAUGAGUAGCGAGAUGUGGGUGAGAAUCCCACAGGCCGUAAACCCAAGGUUUCCAGGGGAAGGUUCGUCCGCCCUGGGUUAGUCGGGACCUAAGCUGAGGCCGAAAGGCGUAGGUGAUGGACAACAGGUUGAUAUUCCUGUACUACCGAUAACCGUUUGAGAGAAGGGAUGACACAGUAGGAUAAGCUAAGCACACUGUUGGUUAUGUGUGCCCAAGCAUUGAGGCAGUCAAAGUAGGCAAAUCCGCUUUGAUAAUGCUGGGAUGUGAUGGGGAGCGAAAUUUAGUAGCGAAGUAGCUGAUUUCACACUGUCAAGAAAAGUCUCUAUCGAGGUUAAAGGUACCCGUACCGCAAACCGACACAGGUGGGUGAGGAGAGUAUCCUAAGGCCAGCGAGAGAACUGUUGUUAAGGAACUCGGCAAAAUGACCCCGUAACUUAGGGAUAAGGGGUGCCACCAUCAGGUGGCCGCAGAGAAUAGGCCCAAGCGACUGUUUACCAAAAACAUAGGUUUCUGCUAAGUCGCAAGACGAUGUAUAGGAGCUGACGCCUGCCCGGUGCUGGAA